rnacentral:rRNA from 1 species
UGUAAGCGUAUACAAAAGUUGUUGCAGUUAAAACGCUCGUAGUCGGAAUUUGGCAGUUCCGGAUGUGUGCACGUCGUGUGCGCACUUCGCGGGGAUUGCUUUUGUGGUCUUGCGUAGGAUGAGGCACUUUUAUUAGUGAACGUCCUCACGCAACCACUUUUUACUGUGAGAAAAUCAGAGUGCUCAAAGCAGGCAUUUGCCGUGAAUGUAUUAGCAUGGAAUAAUAGAAUAGGACUUGGUUCUAUUUUGUUGGUUUGUUGGGACUGAGUAAUGAUUAAGAGGGACAGUUGGGGGCAUUUGUAUUUCGGUGCUAGAGGUGAAAUUCUUAGAUUACCGAAAGACAAACUGCUGCGAAAGCGUCUGCCAAGGAUGUUUUCAUUGA